AUAAAAAGAAUUUGAUGAUGUGAGUGCAUUCUGACUCUUGAUAGACCUGUCUCAAGUUGCUAUUCCUGUUACAUUGUUUCAAAAUAUAUUCUUUGUGCAUUGAGACUGGGUAACAAGAUCUAAUAUGAAGCAGUUGUAAUAUGAAUCAAAGAAGAUAAAAAAGUUUGGUGUUCUUUCCUUAUGUACCAUAAUGUUUUCUUACAGGGAGAA
rnacentral:misc_RNA from 1 species